GACGAACGCUGGCGGCGUGCUUAACACAUGCAAGUCGAACGAGACGAUUGAAAGCUUGCUUUCAAAAGUCGAGUGGCAAACGGGUGAGUAACGCGUAGACAACCUGCCUUUGAGAUGGGGACAACAGUUCGAAAGGACUGCUAAUACCGAAUGUGGUAUAUUUUCCACAUGGAAGAUAUAUUAAAGAUGGCCUCUAUUUAUAAGCUAUCGCUCAAAGAUGGGUCUGCGUCUGAUUAGCUGGUUAGUGGGGUAACGGCCUACCAAGGCGACGAUCAGUAGCCGGUCUGAGAGGAUGAACGGCCACAUUGGGACUGCGACACGGCCCAGACUCCUACGGGAGGCAGCAGUGGGGAAUCUUCCACAAUGGACGAAAGUCUGAUGGAGCAACGCCGCGUGAGUGAAGAAGGGUUUCGGCUCGUAAAGCUCUGUUGUCGGGGACGAAUGUGCAGUAUUUGAAUAAAGUAGUGUAAUGACGGUACCUGACGAGGAAGCCACGGCUAACUACGUGCCAGCAGCCGCCGUAA
rnacentral:rRNA from 1 species